GGGGAUAACACUUGGAAACAGGUGCUAAUACCGUAUAACACUAUUUUCCGCAUGGAAGAAAGUUGAAAGGCGCUUUUGCGUCACUGAUGGAUGGACCCGCGGUGCAUUAGCUAGUUGGUGAGGUAACGGCUCACCAAGGCCACGAUGCAUAGCCGACCUGAGAGGGUGAUCGGCCACACUGGGACUGAGACACGGCCCAGACUCCUACGGGAGGCAGCAGUAGGGAAUCUUCGGCAAUGGACGAAAGUCUGACCGAGCAACGCCGCGUGAGUGAAGAAGGUUUUCGGAUCGUAAAACUCUGUUGUUAGAGAAGAACAAGGAUGAGAGUAAAAUGUUCAUCCCUUGACGGUAUCUAACCAGAAAGCCACGGCUAACUACGUGCCAGCAGCCGCGGUAAUACGUAGGUGGCAAGCGUUGUCCGGAUUUAUUGGGCGUAAAGCGAGCGCAGGCGGUUUCUUAAGUCUGAUGUGAAAGCCCCCGGCUCAACCGGGGAGGGUCAUUGGAAACUGGGAGACUUGAGUGCAGAAGAGGAGAGUGGAAUUCCAUGUGUAGCGGUGAAAUGCGUAGAUAUAUGGAGGAACACCAGUGGCGAAGGCGGCUCUCUGGUCUGUAACUGACGCUGAGGCUCGAAAGCGUGGGGAGCGAACAGGAUUAGAUACCCUGGUAGUCCACGCCGUAAACGAUGAGUAUAGAGUGUUGGAGGGUUUCCGCCCUUCAGUGCUGCAG
rnacentral:rRNA from 1 species